AUGUGGAGACAUUUCUGUCUGUGGUAGAAAGCCCGGUUUGCUUCUAGUUUUGAUGUGCAGCUUCAGUUCUGAGUGUCUGCCAUGUGCAUGUCUUGUGACGUGUUAUGGCAGCUGUGAUGAGGCUUGCAUCAUAAUUAUAUCACAACCUUGGAAGGAGAUCCUUGGUCAAGUUGGGCAAUCAAGAGUCUCACUCUGGGAAGCACUGGCUGUUUUUAAAGACCUGAGCCUGGCACCAUGUAUUUACUCAAGAGUAAGAUCAAAAGAGAGAAAGAAGAGAUAAAGAUCCUGCUCCCUCAGCUGCCCUCCGAUCUGGAGCAAAGGAAAAACAAAGAAAAAAAGAUGAGGAAAGGCAACUGACAGAACUGAGGCAAGGACUUUGGUGACAAUCAUUUUUUUGAGAGUCCAUCCCAAGAAGACAAUGAAGAAGAACAGAGAGUGAUACAGGGAAGAGGAGAAAGCCAACAAAAGAUACACUACAGAGCUAGUUAUCACUGUGGACAACUGACAAUCUCCCUGGAGACCCUUUGAAAAAACAUUUAAAAAACCUACCUAGAAAUGCUCCUCUGGAAAAAAAAAGAAAAAAGAAA